CAUACAACUAUGUAAAACAUUUAAAUGCAACAACAAACGCGAUCAAAAUCGCAACUAAGGUAACAAUUGACCCAACAGCAUAAUGAUACCAAGCCUCCUAAUCAAUGGCAUAUUUUCUAAUAUUCUUAAUCUUCAAGCGCAUUGCAUCCAUCUUCAACCGCAUCGCAUCGAUCUUCAUCUUGCGAUCAUCGAUGACAUCGGCGACAUGCAACUCCAGUUCCAUAUUCUUAUCCUCAAUUAUUUUCAAUUUUUUCUUCAAGUAUUUAUUUUCUUUUUCAACCAAAUUUAACUUCUCGACAAGAAUUUUUAUGUGGGUUGGAAUUUCCGGUUCACAUAGCUCCUAGAUUAAAAAAAUAUAUGUCACGUUGGUCGUCAUAAUUGUCAUACACACUAAAUAAAAC
rnacentral:lncRNA from 1 species